GAAGGCCCAAGGGUUGAAACUAUGCCACUGUUGAGGAAGUGUAUACACGAGAUGGUGCUAUAUGAGAAGCUCGAGUAGAUGAUGGCUGCAAAGCCUGGAGAAUUGGUUUCAAUGCUUCGAGGGGAUGGUAGCGGCUCUGGUCAAGUGCUUUGAUGCCCAAUAGGUGGGGAAUCGCUUUCGCUGCUGUCAACCAAACCACCGACCAAUUGAG
rnacentral:lncRNA from 1 species